UACGUAGGUGGCAAGCGUUGUUCGGAAUAACUGGGCGUAAAGGAUGCGUAGGCGGUUAAACAAGUUAUAUGUUAAAUAUAUAGGCUUAACCUGUAGAAAGCAUAUAAAACUGUUUAACUAGAGUGCAGGAGAGGUAAGUGGAAUUCCUAGUGUAGCGGUGAAAUGCGUAGAUAUUAGGAGGAACACCAGUGGCGAAGGCGGCUUACUGGACUGUAACUGACGUUGAGGCUCGAAAGCGUGGGGAGCAAACAGG
rnacentral:rRNA from 1 species